CGAAAGCCUGACGGAGCAACGCCGCGUGAGGGACGAAGGCCUCUGGGCUGUAAACCUCUUUUCUCAAGGAAGAAGAUAUGACGGUACUUGAGGAAUAAGCCACGGCUAAUUCCGUGCCAGCAGCCGCGGUAAUACGGGAGUGGCAAGCGUUAUCCGGAAUUAUUGGGCGUAAAGCGUCCGCAGGCGGCUUUUCAAGUCUGCUGUUAAAACGUGGAGCUUAACUCCAUCAUGGCAGUGGAAACUGAAAGGCUUGAGUAUGGUAGGGGCAGAGGGAAUUCCCGGUGUAGCGGUGAAAUGCGUAGAUAUCGGGAAGAACACCAGUGGCGAAGGCGCUCUGCUGGGCCAUUACUGACGCUCAUGGACGGAAGCCAGGGGAGCGAAAG
rnacentral:rRNA from 1 species